UACGUAGGGGGCGAGCGUUGUCCGGAAUCAUUGGGCGUAAAGAGCGUGUAGGCGGUCCGGUAAGUCCGUUGUGAAAGUCAAGGGCUCAACCCUUGAAUGCCGGCGGAUACUGUCGGGCUAGAGUCCGGAAGAGGCAAGUGGAAUUCCCGGUGUAGCGGUGAAAUGCGCAGAUAUCGGGAGGAACACCUAUGGCGAAGGCAGCUUGCUGGGACGGUACUGACGCUGAGACGCGAAAGCGUGGGGAGCAAACAGG
rnacentral:rRNA from 1 species